rnacentral:rRNA from 1 species
UACGUAGGGUGCAAGCGUUAAUCGGAAUUACUGGGCGUAAAGCGUGCGCAGGCGGUUGUGCAAGACAGAUGUGAAAUCCCCGGGCUUAACCUGGGAAUGGCAUUUGGGACUGCAAGGCUGGAGUGCGGCAGAGGGAGACUGGAAUUCCUGGUGUAGCAGUGAAAUGCGUAGAUAUCAGGAGGAAUACCGAUGGCGAAGGCAGGUCUCUGGGCUGACACUGACGCUCAUGCACGAAAGCGUGGGGAGCAAACAGG